rnacentral:rRNA from 1 species
AUUGAACGCUGGCGGAAUGCUUUACACAUGCAAGUCGAACGGCAGCACGGGGCAACCUGGUGGCGAGUGGCGAACGGGUGAGUAAUACAUCGGAACGUGCCCAAUCGUGGGGGAUAACGUAGCGAAAGUUACGCUAAUACCGCAUACGAUCUACGGAUGAAAGCGGGGGAUCGCAAGACCUCGCGCGAAUGGAGCGGCCGAUGUCAGAUUAGGUAGUUGGUGGGGUAAAGGCUCACCGAGCCGACGAUCUGUAGCUGGUCUGAGAGGACGACCAGCCACACUGGGACUGAGACACGGCCCAGACUCCUACGGGAGGCAGCAGUGGGGAAUUUUGGACAAUGGGCGGCAAGCCUGAUCCAGCCAUUCCGCGUGCAGGAUGAA